CAUAUUAUGUUAAUUUCACGAUUCUGAGAAUUAUUUAUACAUUUUUCUUCCACAAAUAUGAUGAUAGAACGAUACAAUUAAUUUCUAGAUCAUGCAUGAUAUGUCGAAUUUUAUUUUAUAUGCAUCUAGAAUUUUUAUUGAUUUUCGGGUCAACAAUUUUGAAAAUGUGAAUAUCCUUGAAAUUGAUUUUUUCAAAAUUUAUUUAUGAAAUUUUAUUUAAAUUUUUUGAGGAUGGAAAUUGGUUAUUUGUGUUGAUUGCACAUUGUGGAAUGACUUAUAAUUUUUCUGGAUUUUUCGGG
rnacentral:lncRNA from 1 species